CCUACGGGAGGCAGCAGUGGGGAAUAUUGCACAAUGGGCGCAAGCCUGAUGCAGCGACGCCGCGUGAGGGAUGACGGCCUUCGGGUUGUAAACCUCUUUUCAGCAGGGACGAAGCGCAAGUGACGGUACCUGCAGAAGAAGCACCGGCCAACUACGUGCCAGCAGCCGCGGUAAUACGUAGGGUGCAAGCGUUGUCCGGAAUUACUGGGCGUAAAGAGCUCGUAGGCGGUUUGUCGCGUCGUCUGUGAAAACCCAGCAGCUCAACUGUUGGCUUGCAGGCGAUACGGGCAGACUUGAGUAUUUCAGGGGAGACUGGAAUUCCUGGUGUAGCGGUGAAAUGCGCAGAUAUCAGGAGGAACACCGGUGGCGAAGGCGGGUCUCUGGGAAAUAACGUGACGCUGAGAGCGAAAGCGUGGGUAGCGAACAGGAUUAGAUACCCUGGUAGUCCACGCCGUAAACGGUGGGCGCUAGGUGUGGGUUUCCUUCCACGGGAUCCGUGCCGUAGCUAACGCAUUAAGCGCCCCGCCUGGGGAGUACGGCCGCAAGGCUAAAACUCAAAAGGAAUUGACGGCUGAGACGNGCGAGACGACGACGAGGAGAGG
rnacentral:rRNA from 1 species